AGUACAAUUAUUGGGUCAUAUGGUAGUUGCAUGUUUAGUGUUUUUCUUUUUUUUUAAUAACUGCCAAACUGUUUUCCAGAGUGGCCAUACCAUUUUAUAUUCCCACCAGUAAU
rnacentral:pre_miRNA from 1 species